CUUUUUAGUAUUCAACCAGAUAGAUGUUAGGUAGGCAUGAAAGAAGGGCUAGCUGACUAGGUUGAGGCUGGGGCAUUUGUGGGCUAGGGAGAAGUUGAAUGUUAUUUGGGGAAGCAUGAUGGGAAGAGUGUAUAGAUUAUGAGGACACCGAAACGAUCAAACAUGUACAACCUCAGUGCAGGCAAUUGUUUGCAAAUCUGUCUGAGCUCGGUGUAACCACGUACUCAAUGGAAACAAUUCAAGAAGAAGAACCUGCAGGACAAAGGCAAGUCAUGUAAGAUCUAUGGGAUUUUGUAUUUAUAUCUGAGUAAUUAUAAUUAGGCUACUAGUUCCAUCAACCGACAGUGAGAGGCAGCAAUGCGCUGCAAAAGUGCCCAGUCUGCCGUAAACGGAAAAAGAAGAAGACGACAAAGAGAUGUCCUUGAAUAUACUCUGAUAACGGCCACUACAUCAUUGAGCGUAUAUGUUCUACACGGGUUGGAUCUGUCUUUCCCCCAUCUCAACCAUUCUCCAUUGGGGUUAUGCAGAGGCUUCACUUUGUCAAUAAUUGUUACGACUUAGCCUAAGCAAACCGACGAGAACCUGGUGGAAACCGGGACCCUGGGAUCCCUCUUGCAGUUGCUCUCAUUCUCAAGCGAAAGCCUAGAGGGAGGGAGAGGGACCGGACAGAUAGUGCUGUUUUUUUUACGGUGUGGCGCCACAACCAAGUGGCUACAGUCAGUGCUGUUUAGACGGGCGUUACAGUAACGACGUCAGUAGGUAACGCUAACAAGCAAGCAAGGCUAUCUCAUCAAAAGUUAUCGUUAGUUGGUCACCAUCUGUUUUGCUGCAAUUAACCUACGUUACAUUGAAGGUAUUAUCAACAGUUCAUAUUAGCUAGCUAGUUAGUUAACUUAACUAACUUAACGUUAUCCAUCACCAUGUUCUGAAAAUGCCUUAUCUCGCAGGCAGACAUCGCUGUGGCCGUCAAAACUUUGUGCAUUCACAAUGUAAUGUUAAAUCGAUAACCCAUUCAUAAAUUAACGUUAUAUUUGAAGUUGGGAAACUGUCAAUGUUUUGCUGGUGUAAUUGCGUGCUAUCCAAACAUCAGACUGUGGAUAACUACCUAUGAUCGCUAACGUCAUUGAGCCAGAGCGUUAGCUAGUUAGCCGAGGUUACGCGUUUAUGGUUGUGUGGGCUAGCUAAGGUUACUUUGAAUUAUGGUCGUAAAGCUUCAGAAAGAACUGUGGUGCUUAAAUGAAGACACCAUAUAAUGUUAUGUUCGGCACUUGUCUUUGACGUUGGCACGGCUUUGACGUGUACGCAAGCCAACCCUAGAUAGUGUAACGUUAACGUCCCAAGGACUUGAGACUUGAGUUCGCUAGCUGGCUGAGUUAGUUAGCCUUGUCCAGGCUAUCGAGUGGCUCACCGAAGCAUAGCAAGCUGCCUAGCCGUGGUUGACAUUUGAUAAUGUCUGAAAUACUUUUAACGUUACAAGUCAGUAAUAUUGUCUCUAUUCAACAGUUUAAACAUUGUUUAGCGCUUUAACUGUAGCCGCCAAUCAUCAAGCAAGUAUCACCUAGUGAAUGUUAUAUAUUUAUAUAUAGCUAACGUUAUACAUUUUUCGUAGCCUUUCUGGCUUCCGGCUAGCCUGUGUACUCAUAUUAGCGACCGUCAUUAGCCAGACAACUACAUCUGGCUCCGUCGCAGCAAGGUUGUUUUUCCUUAUUCGAUUUUUGUGAGACAGUGGGAAGAUUUCAUCAGCCACACGUUCGGUGUCUAGCUGGAAAACCUUGCAAAUUAAUCAUCAGAACAAAGUCCGAGUUGAAGGAUUACAAACGCGGUAAGUAUACAAUCACAAUGUUAGCUAAUUAACAUUAGCUGCUUGGAUUGUGGUGGCUAGCUAUUGCCACUUGUUUUUGUAAGGUUACUUUAAGAGCUGUGCUCUUAAUUUAACGAGUCUAAUUUUUAACUUAAUUCUUAAGUGAAAUCCUUACUCGAUGUCACAUGUUUGUCCUCAAAAUUAGGAAAUAUUGUACGUUCCAUCAGGCACGUUUACUUCGCCACCUUGACGUUAGCGGGCUAAAAUGUAGCUAGAAUUAGCUAGAGUGAAGACUGCUAGCGUACAGGGUAGCUAGGUCAUGACGAGCGUUGUAUGUAACUGUCAAGUUACUAUCUCAAUAGUGUUAUUGACUGGUUAAUGGUACCCUGUUUUUUAUAGUGCUGUUCAUAUUUGCCCCUUAAGUAUGAAAGUCGUGUGGAUGUCACUGAUUUGUGUGGGUUUUCAAGUUUGUCAGAACAGAGGGAUAGCCGUAGCGUUACCCUAUUUGACAUCGAAACACCUGGUCAUCAUCAUCGUUUGUGAUGGAGCCUUCGUUAAAUCAUAGUUAGUCUGUAUAGCUAGUUAUUUACAAACUGACGUGACGAAUGUUACCCCGUACUGCACCUUCGUGUGUGAUCUGUUCAAAUAUUAACGUUAGUGUUGACCUGGCGUGUGUGUGGUUUACUGCAUGUGUGUUUAAUGUUGCAUCCCAUCUAAGGCGUUCUCAUAGACCGUGAUCAACACUGUAUUUAUAGGUCCUAGCAUUACAUUCUUUCAUUGUUACUAAUUAGCUACAGUGUAUAUUUGGUUUUGCCAUUUACAAACGUAAGUCAAUUGACGUUGUGCAUGUUUUUGCAUAAACUCAACUGUACGCAAACCUCACACUCCUCGUCCAAGUACAAGCAUCCGACCAUAGAGGUCAUUACGUAAGCAUGUUGUAGUGAUGUUAAGUUGGCAAACGAUCCGACUCUUUUCAACGGCUCUUAGGUACGAACGAAAGGAACCGAGUCAUACUUGAGAGCCGUUCUUUUUAUCGUUGUGCUCAAAUGUCACUGCAUGCCCUUAGGUGAACAGUGGAAACUAGCCUGUCACACGAUGUAGAAGUUGUAGCGUUAGGUUUCUUAAAGGCAGAAUGAGCGGGAUUUGUAAUGGUGUUUGUAAACACAGCAUUCACAGUUGGCCCCUCCUUCCUAGCUCCAGCGAAAGAGAGGGCAGCAGUGGUGGAGGGAAUUCGAGAAUGAAUCAAAAGUGGGAGGGGAGGUAGCAAGAACAAAGCAGUGAAUCAGAGUAAUUCAACUUUUUUUCUGAUCGUUUCUUGAGGGUUACGUUCUAAAGCACAACAUAUACAUGGCCACACCUCGGCACCACCCUGCUGGAAGGAUUUGGUGUGAAGGCAGAUAAAGCGCACACUUCAUUUACUGUCUGCUACACCUAGUCCACACGUGCAAAAUGUCAUUAUAUUGGUGGGAUGUCUACGUUUGAAUCAAUAGCUGACACCCACUGAGCACUGUUUGAUUGUAAAGCUUUGACACAUUUGGAUUAUUGUGUGCAUGUUGCAGGGUUGGAAAUUAGAAUCCGCUACCCGACAAAUGCGUGUGAAUUUGUGAAGUGGUGGGUGAAUUUGAUCAACCUACCUGCUACAGCUGAUGUCACUAGGCCUAUGCAAGAGGAGACAACUCGAGUUAAAGAACCAAAAGUUAAAAGGUGAUUAUUUUUUUUUGUGUUCUUUUCUUUUUUUUUUAUGUAUAAUUUUUUAAGCAAGGCAAACAUUAUUGAAAAUUUAGUUACACACAAAAGUGCGAUUACAAAAUGGUGGCUGCUGAAAAUGGCCAGUAGAUAAAGAAAAAGAAAAUGUUUAUUUCCACUCCUGUUAUGUUGUGUGCAUUUAAUUGUUAGUAUUAUGGCCAGUCACUGUGAGCAAGUAUAUUCAGCUGAAAUACACCGUUAAAUAUUUCAUGCUGUGUUUUAGGAGCAGUGUACUGUUUGGAAAGAAAAAAAAAGAUUUUCGUCCAUUUGACGCAAAUGAACAAGCAAAUUGUUCAGCUUAAUAUUUUCCAGCUUAAUCCUGUGACGCUGUAUGGUAUAGCAUGCCCUAAAUAAAUCUUUGGCUAAGCUCUCGGCCUCUCACGCCUGUCUCUCCUCAAAAGGCUCUCUCUCAUGAACAUGAGGCACCCUUUACGUAGGGUAGCCCAUUGGGCUUAAUUAGUCCACUUAGGUCUCUUGGAGCCAACCACAGUCGUGGGGGAAGCCCGGACCCAACCAUUGUGGUGGGGGAGUCAGUCUUAAAGGGCAACAGCCCUUUUCUUGCCACAGUGAGAAGGGAGGAAAUUCACCUUCUCACACAUGGCUAUACUCUUCCGUUAAAGCAGCACAAUGGAGGAAUUGCUAAUCGCUAACAAGAUGCUAGCGGCUAAACCUAGCGAAACCUGUUGAAAUUUGCACAGUACAAUUGCUACAUACUGUUAUUUUAACAUCUUUACUUUCGUAGCCUACUUUCACACACACAAGCUUUUUGUCCGCAUAGCGCGACCAGUUUGUUGUAGUAAAAUACUGUUGAGUGGUAUCGGUUCUUGGUAUCGGCAAUUCAAAUACGAGUAUGAGUAUUUUAACGAAGUAUCGGCCCGAUACUGGUAUCGGUAUCGGUGCAUCCCUAACUGGUUUGUUGAGUUUCACGGUCUUAGUCGAAACUAUUACACUCCUACACAAAAUGCACACAACUGUGCUCUGAUCUUGUCAAACUUUAUAAACUGCCAUACUGGAGAGCUAACGUGUAGAUUUUUUUUUUUGUGUGGAACUGACUAGUCCCCCUGAAGUUGUUCACUGUCCUGUAUUCCUGCUGGUCAGUGCACAGAUUAUGUAUGAGCAGUGCAGUAUAAUGUGCUCUCUGUUGUGUUCUUUCCAGGAAGUAGCUCUGAGUAGGAGUGUUUUCUACAGUAUGGCCCCCUGCUCCUAAAGUGGAAACUAAAGACAUGUGCACUGUUGCCCAUAAAUGUGAUGCUUCAGUGAGGUGGUCAAAGGCACCAAGUGGGCAGAGCCAAGCUGAAGUGAAGUAAUAAUAAUAACUGUAUUUAUAUAGCACCUUUCAUGCAAAAGAAUGCAGCUCAAAGUGCUUUAGUAGACAAAGGUUUGGUUAGAUCCGACCGGUAGCAUUAGCAAGCAACUCCUUUAAACUAAAUAUGUCAGACUACAUGACAUUCUAAAACGAUGGCAACAUCGCUGCGUGUUAUGGACAGUAUUUGCCAUGUGCGCUCUCUAAGGAAUAAACUAUAGUGCUUUUUCUGUUCAAAACAGUUGAAUUAGUUGAUGUGGGACUGGAUUUUGUCAGACAUUUUAAAAUGCCCCCUAAACAUCCAUUUGUACAGGCUGUUAGCUUUACUCUUAGAUUUCAUGACUUCUGGGUAAUCUUUUUAUCAUCCUUUUAUGUGAUGGGGCUUAUUUUAUUAAUUGUCUGGGAUCAUUUUCUUUUUCACCUUAAAUGAGACCCAAGCCUUUUACUUUAUGGGUCAAAUUUCCCAGUAAAUAAAGGUCCUAUGCAAGUAACAUAUCUGCUAAUGGACAUCUACAGAGGUGCUAGAACGUUUGUGAACCUCUUAAUGUUCUGAAAAUGUAUUUGAGGUGUAAAUCAUCGACACCAUUCAAUUCUAAUUUAACUAGGAUCGAUUUCAACUAGGUUCUCCCCAUUUUAUUAAAGGUCUGUUCUGCUCUAAAAAAUCGGACUGAGUCACAUAAAAAGCCAAUAAAAAGAUUACCCGGAAGUAAUGUGAUUAUUUAAUAUCUAGCAACUAUUUCUGUGUUUGUUAAAUUAGUAUCGAUUUACACACAGGUACAUUCAUUUUCAAUCAUUUUUCUGUUGAAAACAGUUGAAUUAGUUGAUGUGGGACUGGAUUUUGUCAUGGAGUAAGGUAUUCUUCAAGGAAUAUAGGGAGCUAUACCACCCAGCUCUAACAUGAAAACUGUACAUUUCUUCAACAUUUGUUGGCCUGGUGUGUCCUGCCUGCAUCUGUCCCCUAUACUCUUAGCAGUGUCAUGAGAAUGUAUAGUUCACUUGAGGCGUUCUCAGUUUAUACAUUUUCCAUCCACGGGGCGGGGCACGCUUAGAUGGGUCUUUGAGUAAUGGAAAAAUGGCAUCACAAAAAGAGGUCUAAUACAUGGGUGGAAUUUGCAGAUUGUGCAUUCAUAAUUAUUUCAGCAAAUUGAUGUUUGUAAUUAUUUGCAAAAUGGCGAUGGAGUGAAUAAAGAAUAACUCCCUCAGAUCUUGAAACGUUCUCAUUGCCAUUCAAGUGGGCACAGGUCGAGAGCCAGUCUUGAUUCCUAAUCUGAAUCUAGUCUUCACUAGCCAACUGACUAAAUGUACCCAUGAAAUACUUCAUGACACUGAGGUUGCUGAGCUGCAGUCAGUGCAAGGCAGAAAGCUAAUCUACUUCCCUCUCUCUGUUUGCUUGUAAACAAUACUCAGUUUAUAAUAGUCAUUCUUGGAAAGAGGCUUAACAGGGUCAACCCUCUCACCUUGUCUAUGACCUAGCCAUUAAAUCAUGCACGCACUGGUGAUGCCAUCCCCUUUCUACAUUCUCUUCCUGUCCGGUGCUCUCUGGUUGACCCCUCUCUCAUGUUGUACUGGCUGGCUUACGCAUCAUGUUACUCCUCCUACUAUAUGUACAUGUUCUCUCUCUCUCCGUGAGUCGUGCAGUGCCACCAGCUCUUCCAACAAACACUGUGUCUGACGCUGGAGGUAUUAGGCUAAAUGUAGUGAUUGGGCCAGCACUCAAGCAGACCUCCUCACACUCCUACUCUUAAUCCCCUGAUCCGCUGGGCUUGAAGCAACGGCCUCUGUUAGCCUGACUGUGUGUGUGUGUGUGUGUGUGUGUGUGUGUGUGUGUGUGUGUGUGGGAUGCAUCAGUGUGGUCAGCCUCUGACCAAACCCCCACUUUGAAGUGGGAUCGGAGCGCUGAAAAACACUGGCUGUGCUGGAUACCUUUUCUUACCUUUUGUAAGUAUUGAACAACCAUUGCAAUUGGUUCUGAAAUGAAGCAGAUUUCUCCAAGCUAGCAACUGUCGUGGCCCUCACUGUCUGCUUGUAUUUUCCGUGCCUCCUUGGAUGCAUGGUGCAUAGUCUAUCAAGUUCUCUUGACUUUAUAUCUCCACUUGGCCCUUGGUGAUCUUUUACCGUUUUAGUUGAGUUCAUUUUUGAGUUUGAGAAAUCCAGUGCUUAGCAAAAUCAGGUUUGCGAUGUAUUUCUGCAGCCAUCUGAAAGGCAGAAGCUGUUUAUAGCUUCCUCAAGACAAUCAUCAUCCUCCUCUGCCUAGUUUGAAUUCCAGAGCUUGUUUUCUCUGAACAUGUUCUCAUAUGUGACUUCAUGGUUUGUAAAAUCUAGCAGGUCAUGUCCUUGACUAAGCACUGAUUUCAAGAUCUAAGGAUGCCCAUUUUGCAGUUGCUUCCUCAGUGUUUGGUUGUUGUUAUUCCUAAGCAUGGUCAUACAGGUCCGAUAGCUAACUAGAGCUUUUGCAUUGUAGUCCGUGUCAUUCAGCUGUCAUUGUCUGUUUGUGUCAUUCAAGACAGCUUGAUGAUGUUGGAUUCUCCAUUAGUUCUGUUCAGCCAGGUUACUAGAACUAUGUCCACCAGCUGCUUUUUUUAACAACUUUAAACCUUCUACACGUGCCUAGUGUCGUCUGUGGUAUGAAUGCCACAUACUUUCCUAGACCUGUCUCUGACAAGUCUAUGGCAACCUGACAAGUUUUCUGUAUGGGCCGUAACUCAAGCGAUCAGCUGUCUGAAUAGUUCAUCAGCUGUCAAUGGCUUUUCUUACUAGAGCAGUUGGCAUUCAUGCUGCUUCUUAAACACUGUACUCUCUUUCUGUCGGCCCCCUAAUAUGAAAGUGCAAGGUGCACACACACACGCAACAGUAGAUGUGCGCUGGCUGCACGGAGGCAGAAAGAGGGAUUGAGUGGAGCUGCUGUUUGCAUGAAUGUACUCAGAGAAUGGUAGAGUAGUGCAAAGGCUGUUUGGGAUGAGGAAGUCAGCACACGAAUUUGAGCGAUUUGUUGUUGUUGAACUUGUGCCAUCUGAGCCGAUGGAUGUGUGCGUGCUAUGGAAAUGUUUUGAUUGGAUUGCCAAAAGCACAACAGCGGUAACGCAUACGAUGGAGUUCAACUGUGUUGUUGUGGAAGCAGUAAGGAUACAGCAGCAUUUAGGGAACUUGUGAAUGGUCAAUUUCACAACAGUCAACAAAUAUGUGUUGGCACUGAUCCUUUUAACAGUCAAAUUACCUCUCCUUCUCAGUGAAUUAUUUCUUAAUUUCUUUUAUUGCCACUAUAUUUUAAAGCAGAGAAAUGUAGUGUUCAACAGUAAAAUACGAAACAAUAUCUUACCUUUUGUGUCUAAUUUUUUGUUGUGCAUUGUGCCUCCAUGAGUUUUUGUUUGUUUGUUGAUACACUGUGUGUCGAUAUAGUGGCUUAAAUCCGAUCUUAUAUAUGAAGUUUUCUUCUGUAAAAUAUUGAACAGUGAAAUAUUGAAUAAGAUGUCAAUUCGAUCUGCUUCCACUGUUAUUAACUUUUAUUUAUUAUAUUAUAAUGAACUUAAAGCUUCUGCACAUCUAGGACACUGCCAUUAGCCAGUAAGAUUAAUAGUAGGAAGGGAACCUACAAUGAAACUAUUAAGAGAGUAUUUGUUUGUUUUCAUUUUUUGGUCAGGCCUGUGUUUGUUUUCAAAGCCAUUCUCUGAAGGAUCUUUCACUACUGUAAACACAGCAGUGUUGUUGGUGGUUGCCCCAGAUAGAAAUAAGCACUAAUCUUAUCUGAUGGCGGUGCACUGCCACUAGGAGAGAUGGCUGUGAUGUAAGGGUCAGAGCUUCUCAAAUCCUAUUUGCCUCCAGUGCGCAACACACACACACAUUUGAGCACACUGGAAAAUCUAGAAAGAUGACGGUGGUGAUUAGUGUUGUACAAGACACAGCAUUCCACCUGCCUGACAUUUUGGAAUAGACUGACGGCGUCUGUGAGACUGCUGGGGCUGGAGAAGGGCAUGGGGCAAGGGUCGACAGUGGUACAGUGGUAGAGAAGUCGUUUAGUAAUCAGAAGGUUGCUACUUCGAUUCCCUGUCGACGCGUCCUUGAGCAAGACACUGAACCUCUAAUUGCUCCUGAUGUGCAGUGUGCCAUCAGUGUAAAUGUAAAAUGUGUAUACAUUGUAAGUCGCACAUAUGUAAGUCGCUUUGGAUAAAAGCGUCUGCUAAAUGACUAAAUGUAAAUGUAAAUGUUUUCUGAGAAGGGUACUGGGAGUGUUGGGCAGGGGAGCUGGCACAGGGGAGAGAGUGAAAGUGAAGGGUAGAUAUUGUGAGGAAGUUAAGAGUCAUGUUAUUAAAGGAUUAACAGAACUGAGUGUAGGUAAACAAUCUGUUGUCUGCAGCAGAGGUAGGUGUUGCUGCAUAGUCAUAGGGGAAUGAUAAAAGUUGGCCAUGCUGGCUAUUGGCACAUGUGCCCUGUUUUGAUUUGAUUUAUGAUUCACAAGGUUUCGAUUCAAUCCAAUUUGGUUCAAUACUGAUUAGAUAUCGAUAGGAAUAGGAUAUGGAAUAUUAUUUCCAUAUUUGGAGAGAUAUUUAAAAUGCAAAACAGAUUUACAAUGUCACUGUAAACCCUGCGGACAGCACUAAAGAAAAAGACCAAAGGAUUGCCUUCGAUGUGAUAGUCAGACGGUGUUUAACCAUUGUUGAAAUGAACCUAGAGAGGUAGAAAAAAUGCAUGUUAGCCUUAAAGUUUGAUCCAUAAAUCGUCAUCGAGUCGGCAUUUAAAAAAAAACAAUUCAUUGAAAAAGCCAUAAUUUUGCAUACCCCUAUUCGUGGCUACCAUGGUAACAUAACUAAUCUAAGAUUGCAAAUGUCUUCAAUGAUGAUUUAUUUUAGGCCUUUUGACUCUGUGGAAAUGUGUGAGAGCCUAUGAUGUCUGCAUGGAACUUGUCUGUCUUUGUUUGUGUGUGCGUGCCCGUGUUGACGACUCUUACAAAGGAUUUAUUACAAAGAUUAUUCUUCAUAAAGCAUGUGGGCUCAGAGUUUUAGGUCCCGCUACAUAAGAACAAAUACCAGAGAUACUGUUUCUAACGCUUCCAAUUUCCAAACGGAUAGAGUGAAGGUUGUUGAAGGAUUUGACAUUGUCAGAGCAAGCUUAGUGCAGGUAGGUGAGGCCUAUAUUUAGCGAUUCUUAUUAGGAUAAGACUCAUGUCUGAGACAUGUUGUGGUUGCCUUGUUCCGCCCUGCUGGCGUGUGAGGCUAGUGUAAGCUGGAUGUCCUUCUGAAGUGUUUCCCACGCACAUAGUACAGUUUGUACUGUAAGGCAGUGGGACUGAUGGGGACACAAGCUGGGGUAGACCCGUGUGUGUGUGUGUGUGUGUGUGUGUGUGUGUGAAUGCAGAUGUUCCUGUGUGAAUGCAGAUGUUCCUGCCUGACCAAACCCUGAUGGGCCAAUGCUUCCCCACAUGAUUUGCUGCCUCUUGUUGAUAAAGUAGCUUAUAGUCCUUGAUAGCUUUCCACAUGUUUGAGUUGUUUGAGGGUUUUGUGACCAGUAUUUUUCGUGUAUCUGCCAUGGUAUGUAUUACCACGUAUCACCACGUAUCAAGUUUUACUUGAAAACUAUACUUGGACCUUGACCUGGAGUUUUGUUUGCCAUAGAUGUUACUCAUAACCUCUUGUCAGAUAAUUGUGAAGGGCCCAUGAUGGAAGGCUGUUUGUGUGAAUGACGUUACAUGUGGACCGGACUGGGACUGGUUCUUGACAGUCACAGUUAUGGUAAACUAAUCAGUUACAGUAAUCUCAGAUUGUUUUCAUACUGAAAGCCAGUAUGUUGCCAUGGAGCAUUUCAAAUUUAGGGAAAUUCCAUUUUUUGAUAACUUUGAAGUGGCAUUUGUGUGCGGGAGCCACAUGAAAAUAUGAGGCCUCAAAGGAGGUUAACAUAUUUCAUUUACAGUAACUCUCUGUACAGUACACCAAGUGCUUUUUUGGUCCAUAUACACCUAUUGAUGGUUUUGCCCUUGUAUAAUUUGUUAAGUAUUAGUGAAGCAUUUGUGAUUUUAUCUAGCAGCUCAUCUCAGACCUGCAAGAUGAAGCUUUACUUGACUGGUCAAGCACGGUCUGGUUUCUGUUGAAAAAUAUCUGUUCAAAUCUUUGUGUCUCUUUCUUUUCAUUACCAUAUAACAAAAUAUCAAAUGUGCUGAAUUGCAAGACAUUUAGUGUGUGUGUGUGUGUGUGUGUGUGUGUGUGUGUGUACACAUGUGUAUAGUGACAUCCGGUUCUCCUAAUGCAGGGCACAUUAACAUGUGUGCCUGUUUCCUGCUCAGCGCUCUUGGCAGGGUUCUGUCUAGCAGCAUUAGGGAUGACUCACUCCUUGCAGAACACUUGGCACAGGAACAUUUGAACAUUUGUCUUACUGUCAAACACAUCCUCUGUCUUUCAUGUGGCUGUUCACUCGGUGUCUCGAGUGCUUCCUGUGGACUGCCACAAGCUCACUUUUUUGCUUAUUUCUAAGCAUAAGUUGUAAUUGGUAGAACCGCUUUUAUGCCACUGUAUGUUCGACGUCAUCAACAACUCACUGAUCAAGAGAAAAUAGACAUUUAAAACAUUUAAGACGAGGUUAUUCAUGACAUGGCUGGAACAGCAUUGCCUGGACUAACAUAUAAUCGUUUCUUGCAAUAAAUUAGCAUUUAUGAUCACCCAAUCUGAAUUUGAUGGUAAUUAAGCAUCCAUGCACAUUGUGUUUAGUUGAGCGAGCAGUGUUUUGUAUUGUAUACAUUGUAUAAAUAUAUUGAGAUUCGAUCCACCAUUGAUGUUGAUCAUGGCAUGCACAAUGUCUGUAGCCUGCCUGCAUCAUGUAGCCCGGCCAGGGGAAGGCCAGUGAUAGUCAUGCCGAUCAACCGAGUCAUAACAACACCAACAAAAGUAUUACUCAUUGGUUGUUCAGUUGGUUGUACUUGAUCAAACUACCAUUGCACAUUUUUAUUAGGCCAAAUAUUAAGCAGAUACCUGAUUUCACCAGCUCCAACGAUUCUCAAUUCUUUAUUAUGUGUUACGGUUAUCUGCACUGAACUUCUCUUACCAGACUCUGCUAACCCCUUUUUUUACCUUGACACUGCCUCAGGCACCGGUUAGUUCUGCUUGACCCAAGAGUAAACGGCAGGCCAAAAGCCCCUGGUUCUGCUUGGCCCAAGGGUAAACGGCAGGCCAAAAGCCCCUGGUUCUGCUUGGCCCAAGGGUAAACGGCAGGCCAAAAGCCCCUGGCCGUAAGCCCAGAGAAGACAUGAUGAAGCCCCAGAAGUGACAAUGGAGACGUAACUAGCCUUGGCACUAUGCUAGUGCUAUGCACUAUGCUAUCGGCUCAUAAAAAAAGCUGUAGAACUCUCUGGGGACCAGGCUGUGGGUUGGUCUCGUCAAACGGGACCCUCCCAUCAGAUGGAUCCCUCUUCCACUCGCGCGGAGCGUCUCCCACACCUCCACAGCAGUCGCAGUCCGCUUCACCCUUCUCCGCUAGCUCACUCACUAACUCCUCCAAGUCCUCUUCAAACCCCAAAAACUCAUUCACUCUGACUGUUCCAGUUGAAAGUAAAGCUCUCCUCCGUGAUGACUAUAUGUUCACAAAUGCUCUGUUUGUUAGCUAGCUAGCUCUGAUACUGUUAAAUGAUUCAACUGUUGAAUGACUUAAUUUGUAAAUUUAAACCAUUCAUGAUCUGUUGAGAAUAUCAUGUCGACAUGGUAACAGCACAGUAUGGCUGUUUUAAUUGGCUUAAUGUUAGCGCUCCAAUGGUUCUGCUCUUUGGGGCGCACAUACUCGCCCUUGGCAUUCUAGAAUAUUCUGGGUCGAUAUAUGCGCCUCUGACAGUAAACGGGUUCAAAAAAAAAAAUGAAGUGACUGUGCACCCACAUAUUUUGGGUGAAUAAAGCCAGCAGAGAUCCUGGUCAAAUGAGUCAGCAGUUGAGGGGUUGGACUGUGCUGAGGCAGUGAUCCACAUGGCUGAGAACGCCUCUGACACAUUAAUGCAGGCAGGGCGGUCAGUAUGGGAAAUGGCCCCCGUCCUCACGUGUGACUGUGUGUUCGGAUAGGCUGUCUAGCUUGUAGCUCUCAGUACUGUUGCUGUGGGUUUUGUUUAAAUAGAUUUGACUUAUGUAAGUUGAGACUGAUAAUAUGGCCGUGUGUGUGUGUGUGUGUGUGUGUGUGUGUGUGUGUGUGUGUGUGUGUGUGUGUGUGUGAGGGAGUGUGUGUGAGAUCAAGAGCUCAUAAUAGCAGCUCCUGGAGUGGGGGGGUGUGUGUGAGGCAUCCAGCCAGCCGGUGACCUGCCUCCAGUGUGUGUGUGUGUACAGGAGCCUGUCUCUCACCUCUGUUUGGACUCUGAUAAACCUUGCUGCACAGAAGCAAACUAUUGUUCCAUGAGCGCAUUCAUGUGUGGUUGUUUCAGCAGUGUGACACGAGAGAGAGAGUGGGGGUUUGGUAACGGAUGACCCAAUGGCUGUGAUUUGGCCGUUUGGCCACAGCUCGCUCUGCUACCAAAAGUUUCCAAGCAGAGUUCUCAGCAGUAAGCGUUGCCAAGGGUCACUCUGCAGCCAAGUUGAAUCAGGCAAUUUGCAUGUUCAAAGUACAUUCACAUGUCUUUACGUUUCAUGGGAAUUUGUACAUGCCUUGUAUGCCUACUCAUUUGCUUCCUUUCCUCACUCGAAAACAGUCAAAUGUAACGUUAAAAGAACAGUCAAAGGUAACGUUAAAAGAACAGUCAAAGGUAACGUUAAAAGAACAGUCAAAGGUAACGUUAAAAGAACAGUCAAAGGUAUCGUUAAAAGAACAGUUAAAUGUAACGUUAAAAGAACAGUCAAAGGUAACGUUGAAAGAACAGUCAAAGAUAACGUUAAAAGAACAGUGAAAUGUAACGUUAAAAGCUAUGUGCUAUGCGUUACUAGCGGUGAAGAGUCGUUGGGGUUGUUCCAAGAUAUCCACACUUAUGGAAUGCCUCUUGUCCAAUCAGGAAUCAAUACAUUGUUCAACUUGAUCUUCUUCUGUUGUAUUGAUUGUUUUGAUGAUCUCUGUGAGAUGGUGGGCAAUCAUUCAGAGACCAAUGUGAGUCCAAAUUGUGUUCUAUAUAAUGUACUAGUCAUAACAAUCAGAUCCAGUUUUUAGAGCAUUCAAAACUUGUAAAUAAGUUGCAAGUAGGAAAAAAAAACUGGGCUUAAGUUUAAGUGGGCUGGGCUUGCCAUUAAGGCAGAUCUGUUGAUGUUACACUUUGCAUUCUCAAGGUAUAAAUCAGAUCCAUUUUUGGAAUUGUCUUGCCACUACCGUCUAGGUACAUCAGUGGCCGAGCCCUGGCUGUGUUCUGCUCAAAGUUACCAGAGGGGUCUUUACUGUACAACCACGAUUGUGCUGACCACCUAGUCCGUUAUCAGUCAUUGAUCCUGGGCAGAAUUUCGGGCCAACCCUGACAAAUGAACUCUAUUUUGAAAGGACAAGUGAACACUCCGCUCUAUUAGCCAGGCCCUAAGCAGCCAGUGCUCCCUAGUGACGUUGGGGGGGGGGCCUGUAAGAAGAGCAGGUCAUUGAUCAGAGACCACGCCGCUAGAACACCAGUUGAAAGCCUAUAAAGGUGGAUAAAUGGCAUACCAUUUAGCUGAACUAGCAUGAAUCUGCGUCGAAGAGGCUACGUGGCAUUCCCACACAUGGAAGUUUGUAAUUGGCUAGCCUACACACCCAGUACUUAGUAAUAAAUGAUGGAAUUCCUAGAUUUUUUUUGACUGGUUCCAGGUUGAUAUUGUUUUAUCUGCAAUAGGAAUACAGUAGGUGUAGGGGCCGUUAAGACCUAAACUGAUGUGUGGUGAGCGACACUGGAGCGCCGAGACCUUUAUCUCAAGAUGAUCUUUAGCUCCAGGAGCAGAAGUAGAGAAGUUAACAGGAAAACCGUGAGAACAUGGCUGCUGCCUGCAGGGGGCGCCACAAUCCGUUCACCCGGUUGGAAACUCAUGAGCAUCACCACCAGUGUCUGCUGCACUAGGAGCUUAGAGUGGCUGAUAUCUGUGCCAUCUCCACAUCCAUUUCUUUCUUUGCCUUCUCCUUGUCCAGUGUGACUAUUUUACACACAUCUUCAUUUGGUUGGUUUGUUGGGUGAUCACCAUGUUAACACAAUAAAUAUGAAUUAAAAAAAUCCUGAAGAUAAAUAUUAAAUAGAAAAAAGCGCAUCUGGCAGAAAUUGUGGAUCUGUAUCUUAAGUCCUGCUACGUAUGGCAAAUGAUAUGUUGUGUUGGUGACACAAGCCUUGUGCAGUGGGAGACCGGGAGCAGGGUUGGUGUGCUGUGCUGUCCUGUCAGAUGAGUGUUUCUGCCUUAAAGUAGCAUUAAGGAUUUGUUUUGCUCUAAAUCUAGCAAGUUAACUAGGUAACAACCAAGACAAUUGGUUUGGAGUGACCAAAAACAGCACAUUCAAUUUCAAAAAGCUUUUAUAUGUUUUUAAAAUAUAUUUAACAAAGGCUU
ensembl:lncRNA